UCGUGUUUUCAGAUGUCUUCCUAAUCGAGAUAACGAGCGAGACCAGAACCUGCUAUUUGGAGGCUCUCACCUUGGUGGGUGGCGUCCUCAUAGAGGGACUGCUAACGUGAGUUAGAGGAAGUUUCUGGCAAUAACA
rnacentral:rRNA from 1 species